ensembl:snRNA U6 U6 spliceosomal RNA
GUGUUUACUGUUUGUAGACUUUUUGAUAGCGGCCAUUCUGACUUCAGCAACACAUAUACUAAAAUUGGAACGAUACAGAGAAAAUUAGCAUGGCCCCUGUGCAAGGAUGACAAGCAAAUUCAUGAAGCAUUCCACAUUUUU